UUUAGGCGUUGCAAACUGGUUGUUGGGGGAUCAGCAAUAGCUUUAAAGAUCUUCGCAGAUGAACCUGGCCGAGAUGCCAACUUGUGCAAAACAUGCAAUCUGUCCAUCCAUGGCUUUUUCUCUAAACGACAAAUACAACACGUGCCACAGUCAUCAGGAAAUGAAAAUGCAGAUACACCCUCAACAUAUUAAAAAAGUACAACCCA
rnacentral:lncRNA from 1 species